rnacentral:rRNA from 1 species
UACGUAGGGGCUAGCGUUGUCCGGAAUCAUUGGCGUAAAGCGCGUGUAGGCGGCCGGUAAGUCCGCUGUGAAAGUCGGGGCUCAACCCUCGGAUGCCGGUGGAUACUGUCGGGCUAGAGUGCGGAAGAGGCGAGUGGAAGUUCCUGGUGUAGCGGUGAAAUGCGCAGAUAUCAGGAGGAACACCAUGCGAAGGCAGCACUC